rnacentral:rRNA from 1 species
GGGGAGGCGCUGCCUAAUAAUGCAAGUCGAGCGGACAGAUGGGAGCUUGCUCCCUGAUGUCAGCGGCGGACGGGUGAGUAACACGUGGGUAACCUGCCUGUAAGACUGGGAUAACUCCGGGAAACCGGGGCUAAUACCGGAUGCUUGAUUGAACCGCAUGGUUCAAUUAUAAAAGGUGGCUUUUAGCUACCACUUACAGAUGGACCCGCGGCGCAUUAGCUAGUUGGUGAGGUAACGGCUCACCAAGGCAACGAUGCGUAGCCGACCUGAGAGGGUGAUCGGCCACACUGGGACUGAGACACGGCCCAGACUCCUACGGGAGGCAGCAGUAGGGAAUCUUCCGCAAUGGACGAAAGUCUGACGGAGCAACGCCGCGUGAGUGAUGAAGGUUUUCGGAUCGUAAAACUCUGUUGUUAGGGAAGAACAAGUACCGUUCGAAUAGGGCGGUACCUUGACGGUACCUAACCAGAAAGCCACGGCUAACUACGUGCCAGCAGCCGCGGUAAUACGUAGGUGGCAAGCGUUGUCCGGAAUUAUUGGGCGUAAAGCGCGCGCAGGCGGUUUCUUAAGUCUGAUGUGAAAGCCCCCGGCUCAACCGGGGAGGGUCAUUGGAAACUGGGGAACUUGAGUGCAGAAGAGGAGAGGCAAUUCCGCGUGUAGGGUAAAAUGCGUAGAGAAUGUGAAGGA